CUCACAGCAUGGAAGCUUCAGAGCCAUCAGAAUGCUUACGUGGAGCUUAGAAUUUCCGAUGCAUCCCCACCAAAGACUAAGGAAAGGACUCAGAAUACUUUUCAGUAGGACCUGAUGGUAGACAUGUGGGUGCUUCCAUGCGAUGGCAGAGACAUUUCUUCUCACCACAUAUCACGUGCCCUGCCAUGUUUCCCAGUCCCCUUGCAGGUAUAUAGUGGAGUUUUCCAGAGGUUGUAUGUUGUGUAAUGUUGCACUGGAGUGAACACAGGAGCAAUGGUGAGAAUCUACCUGUCUUCUGUUAACCGAGAUCUUGAAGAGAUUUGCAAAACUGUAAAGCAAUGCCACUCUCCUAGGCUGAAAUUUUUGUUUUGGAGAGUAUCAUUGUUUUUCCUAAAAAUGUGUUAUGUGUGACUAUGUAGUGGGAUUAUUACAUUAUUUUAAAUGAAUUAAUAAAUAAAUAUUUAAAAUGUUUCAUAGUUUUAAUUUCAAAUAUGGGAAAUGUCAAUAGAUACAACUCAAAGUCAACAAAAGCUCUUUGGGGUCUUAGGUGAUUUUCAAGGUUAAAGAGGGUUCCGAGGCCAAGGAAUUUGAGAAUCAUAGCU